UGCCCGACUUGUGUUUCUGCACUGUUUUCUUCUAAUAAAGAAGAAUUUUUAAAUUCUAUUGUUAGUUUAAAAAAUAGGAAUGGUAAUCAAAAUGGUUUAUGUUACCCAAGUGAUAAUGUUCUAUCAUUAUGUUUUGAAACAGAUUUAGUUUUAAGGAGUAUUGAUUAUAAAAAUAAAGCCGUCAAUAAACUAAUGGUCCAGUCCAAAGUUCUUAGUAAAUUUAUAAGUCAGUCUCAAAUGUUUUGUUUAGUAAAUUAAGAUAAUGAAACUAAUAGCUUAAUAAAUCAUAUUCCCCUGUUAAUUAAAUCCAUAACUGCUACUUAUUUUGAUCUUAAAAUUAAACAUUCCAUAAAAAUUCACAAUGAAACUCCGUCUCUUAGAAAUGUGAAAUAAUUAUGAUGUAAGGAAAAAACUAUCUCAAUUGAAAAUAAUUGCAUUUAAAUGUGAAUCAUGUGGAUACGAAAAUGAAGAAAUAGUUUUCUACUAUACAAUAGUUAUACACUUUUGUUGGAUGUUAUCAGCUCAAUUGAAAAUAAUGACAUAUAAAUGCGAAUCAUUUGGAUAUAAAAAUGUAAAUUUAGGGCAGAAAAACGGCAAUAAUUACACCAAAAAUUUGAAUCAAAUACUUCUAGAUUACACAAAAAUAAACAUAAUUACUUUAAAAAUGGCUGUGAAAUGUCUGUUAUUUUUGCGAAAUUAUUAUUAACAACAUUGGCGGUGUCUAUUGAUUUGUUUAUUAUGUGCUAUUAUUAUGGCUAUCUUGAAAAUGAAAAAACAAGAAAAACCUUUUUCUUCCUAAUCACUACCAAGGGGAAUGUCCACGAAGGUCAGUCGUAAUCCAAAAUAGCAAUAAGAUUAAGGAUUUUCAACUAUUACCAGCACAAAUUACUCAUUUAAUUACUAUCAAGGACGUGUCAUAUAGAGACCCAGUUCUGUUUUAAUAAGAAAGCUUUUAUACCUUAACUUUGAAUAAUAGAAAGGAAAAAUAGUUCAAUAACUUCGCAAAUUUAAUAAUUAAUAGAUAUAUCUAAAACAAGAUGAAACGUAAAAAUGGUAGCACAGUGAGGUUGGGUUUUUUCAAUUAUAAUCAAUUUUUAUAAAAUAACUGUUCCAAUCAUACAAAUUAUUUUUUUGUGUAGUAUAAACUAUAACUAUUAUAGAACAUUGUCAGUACAGCGUGGAUGUGGCAUAGUUGGGACAAGUAUAAAUGAUAUCUGACAGUGAUUAAUAUCACUAUUAUAAGAUAUGCUUCCAUGUAAAUUCGUAAACAGUGUUUAAUUUUAAGUAAUUAGUCGAUUAUUCCAAAAGCAUCA